rnacentral:lncRNA from 1 species
AGUAUGCGAAGGCGAUGUGGACGAGUAUUUAGUCCCACAUUACCUAUGCAAUGGGUAGAUCUUGGAUACCUAUACAGGACCAAAAAACCCAAAUAACAUCUUCUAGCUAGCCUUUUGGUGAGAUCAUGGAUUAUUAUAAAUGGUAUCAGAGAGGACCCAGCCUAUAGUCAUGUGGACUAAAAGAAAUACUGCAACAUGGUCUAUUUGGAUUGACCAUAGAUUUAUCAUGGUAUUUGUGAUUAGAUUUAUGGUACUUGUGAUUAGCUUUGAAUGGAUUUGGACUCUUAGGGUGACGAGGAUGCUUAGGCUUGAAAGAGGGGGAGUGUGUGAAGACCCAUGCAAGCAUGUGUCUAGUUCCACAUUGGUUAUUCAUUAGAAAAAUCUUGGAUAUUUAUACAAAGCCAAGGAACCCAAAUAACAUCGUAUGGCUAGCUUUUUUAGGUGAGGUCUUAGGUUGUUGUCUGAAUCCCUCCUAGAAUCCUACCUUAAAAAGAUCAAUUGAUGUAGCCAUUGGUUGCCAUGUUGUCGAGGAACAACCAGCUAUUGGAGGUUUGUAGAGCCCACUGAAAAAAUAUGGCCACAACUAUGUAGAUAAAGUUUUUAGCUACAAGAAAAUCUUAGUUGAACAAAAGUUGAGACUACCAUCUAAAAUGCUGAGAGUAUGAAGAGUUUGGUAGAAAUCAUCUAACGGGGUGUUUGGUAUGGGGUGAGCCACCUAGGAUCAAGAGUGAUUUGAGUGAAAAUAAUGAGAUCAUCGUAUUUGGUUGCACCUUAGUGAUCUUAUAUAGCAGUGAUCCCAGAUCACCUUUACUUCUCAAAUCACUGGCCAACCGGAUGAUGGGAAACCCAUCCUUGAGGAUGGGUAUCUAAUAUAACUCCAACACAGUGAUCUUGGGAUAAUCUUGCCCCUUGAUCAAGUAAUUUAGUAUUGGCUAAGUCUCCGCAUGCUGGGUACGAGAGACUUCAAAAAAGUGUCGUCUCAGAAAGAGUGCCCAUGAAGAAGCACCAUCCGCAAAGGAUUUGGAUUUGAUAUUUUCCUCUUUCUAUUUUUUGGCCAUACCGAUUUCUUGAUUUUGGGAUUAUUGAUUCUUUUAUUUUUUGAUUUCUUGAUAUUUUGAUCUUUUGAUUUUUUAUAUUUGAUUGAGUCCAUCUUGUUUUCUUGCACAU